rnacentral:rRNA from 1 species
AUGGUACUGGUGCAGGUGUUGACGGUGGUGACCAUGCUAUUGUCCAAGGCGGCGCUCAACGGCGGCAUGCAACCCCUGGUCCUCCUCGUCUACCGCAACCUCGUCGCUGCUGCCACCGUCGCCCCCCUUGCCGUCGUUUUUGAGAGGGAAAUAUUGAAGAAAGUGAACAUGGUUGUUUUGGGCUGGAUCUUCAUCAACGCUACUUUCGGAGUUUUGUUGGCGACGGGGUUGUACUACUGCGCCCUACGGGCCACCAGCGCCGCCUAUACCGUCAACUUCUUCAACCUCAUUCCCGUUGUCACCUUCCUCAUCGCCGUCGUGCUCCAGGCCGAGCGCAUCUCCCUCGACACCUGGCCCGGCAGGAUGAAGCUGGUCGGCACGGCCUUGGUCGCCGGCACCAUGGUGGUCAUCCUAUGCAAGGGCCCUCAUCUCCCGCUGCCGCACCUCCGGCCGUCCAAUGCCCACGCCCACGCCAGCGCACCGGCACCGGCGUCGGGCCGUCGGCACGCUGUUCAUGUGUGGGAGCUGGGCACGCUGUUCAUGUGUGGGAGCUGCGUGAGCUAUGCACUAUGGUUCGUGGUGCAGGCUAGGGUUGCCAAGCAGUUCCCGUCCCGAUACUGGUCCACUGCCCUCACGUGCGCGGCGGGCAGUCUGCAGUCAGCCGCGGCUGCCGCGGCGGCGACCGGCUGGGCGGCGGAGUGGAGGAUGGGGUGGGACCUGCGCCUGGCCACAGUGGUGUACUCCGGGGUCUUCAACACCGGCGUCACGUUCGUGCUCGUGUCGUGGGCGGUGGCGCGUCGUGGGCCUGUGUACCCUCCCAUGUUCAACUCCCUGUCGCUCAUUGCCACGACUGCGGUUGACGCCGGCAUGCUCGGCACUGACCUCUACCUCGACGGUGUUCUCGGGACGGGCCUUGUCGUCAUCGGGCUCUACGCGUUCCUCUGGGGCAAAGGCAAGGAGCUCGCUGCCGCCAAGGCGGGCAACGGCGAGCAGAAGCUGCAGUGUGUACACGCCGAUGAUGGCAUUGCCUAG